CCCUCCCUCUAAAAGAGACAGAGAGAGCCAGGACAAAGGUCAGAGGAACCAACCUGGACCUGAACCCAGCUGUUUUUCCUUCAAGAGUGACCAGUCGAUUCCUUUUUAUAUUGGGUUUAAAGAAGGCUGCUGUUCUCCUGCAGAGAGGGUGGACCAGCAGAGCUCAGAGGUUCCCAGUGAUCAGUCU